UCCACAGACUUAUUAUUUUACUGAAAUGAUAGAAUAUUUAAUAUCUAACAUUAUCUGUGGACCAUAGACAAGGAAACACUGCCCAUGCCAUUGUUACAUGCUCUGUGGUCAUAAUAUUGUGCGUCAUGUAUGCGUGCGCAAAAACAGGAUAAUGCUCAGCAAUUUCUGCGACUUAAACCUCAAGAGGUUAGCGUCGCAGCGCUGAUUUUCAGCAUCUCCUUGGGUGACGUAAUGGCGUCCCGCCAGCUUCACUAAUCGCCAGCGAACAAGAAUGCAAAACAACAAAACAACGAAAUGAUCAAGUAGCCGGCAUGACCUGUAAAAUACAGAUAUACCUAUAUUGACCAUAAAUGAUGGGGGAGGCUGCAGCUACGAACAACAACCUGUUGGAUACCUGUGCAUCACCAUGUUGGAAGGCCGCGACCCUUGAGGCCUCGCAUUGGUGGUGGCAGGUUGUUCCAACAGUGAGUCGCAGCAUAUUUGAAGCUCCCCCUGAAGGCCGCUGUUCUGUGCUGAGGGAUGGAUAGUGGAUUUGUAGUUGAGCGUAUGUGGUUUAUUGAACUAUGCUGUCUCCACUGUAAUUUCUCAUACAGGUACCGUGGCUUUUGGGUAGUAAUAACUCCAAACAAUAGGCCUGCCAGGUGCAAACGUCUCCGAGCUUCCAUUUUUAAAAUAUUGUUUCGAUUCGCAAAAGGGGUGACAUGGCUUCUUCGUGGUAUGUCCACACAGUAUCUUAUGCAAGCAUUUUGAACACGCUGCACCAAUCUGUUUGUUUUUGCUAGCAA